AAGUGAAUAUGAUGACUAUCUUUCGGGUCUGAUUUGCUGUGAAGACAACCUUACCCAACGUGUACUGAUUCACUU